rnacentral:tRNA from 1 species
GUGCUGGAUAGCGCGGUUGUUGGCGUUUGCCCUCCGAAGGCAAAGGUCACACGUUCGAAUCGUGUCGGGUGCGCCA